GAACAUCUCAAUGACAUAAUGCUCCUGUCAAGAAACAAUAAAAUAAGUAUCUCAACAGCAAAAACACAAAUUACAAUUCACUUUUGAUCAUCCACCAAAGUAUAGAUAGAGAGUUCUGAAGUUACAGAAUGGUAAAAAAAGAAUUCCUGCAUUCCAUUGGGAUGAAACUGGGAUAAUGAAAAGAGGGGAAAUUCAAAAUUAGAAUUCCAUUUUAAAAAAUCAGGAGGGUAAUAGUGCAUAUAGGGACCCAAAGCAUUUCUUUUCCUGCCAUUUCCCUCACAUUUUUCUUAUAUAGUUUAUGUUGUUUCUCUUUCAAUCAAUAAGAAAAAGAACAAAAUGCAUUGAAUUCCAAGGACUCAUACUAACUAAUACAUUUGAGCUGACAGUUUAAAAAAUAACAGUACUUCAUAUUGUUUCCCAAUUCCAUCAGAGCUUCGCUACUCAAAACAAAUGAUACUCAAAACAAAUGAAAAAAAUAACUUACACCGUGAUAACCCCCUGCAUAAUUGGCAUGAAGACGA
rnacentral:misc_RNA from 1 species